rnacentral:rRNA from 1 species
GGUUAAGCGACUAAGCGUACACGGUGGAUGCCCUGGCAGUCAGAGGCGAUGAAGGACGUGCUAAUCUGCGAUAAGCGCCGGUAAGGUGAUAUGAACCGUUAUAACCGGCGAUUUCCGAAUGGGGAAACCCAGUGUGAUUCGUCACACUAUCAUUAACUGAAUCCAUAGGUUAAUGAGGCGAACCGGGGGAACUGAAACAUCUAAGUACCCCGAGGAAAAGAAAUCAACCGAGAUUCCCCCAGUAGCGGCGAGCGAACGGGGAGGAGCCCAGAGCCUGAAUCAGCAUGUGUGUUAGUGGAAGCGUCUGGAAAGGCGCGCGAUACAGGGUGACAGCCCCGUACACAAAAGCGCAUGUGCUGUGAGCUCGAUGAGUAGGGCGGGACACGUGGUAUCCUGUCUGAAUAUGGGGGGACCAUCCUCCAAGGCUAAAUACUCCUGACUGACCGAUAGUGAACCAGUACCGUGAGGGAAAGGCGAAAAGAACCCCGGCGAGGGGAGUGAAAAAGAACCUGAAACCGUGUACGUACAAGCAGUGGGAGCACAGGUUUACCUGUGUGACUGCGUACCUUUUGUAUAAUGGGUCAGCGACUUAUAUUCUGUAGCAAGGUUAACCGUAUAGGGGAGCCGGAGGGAAACCGAGUCUUAAUUGGGCGUUAAGUUGCAGGGUAUAGACCCGAAACCCGGUGAUCUAGCCAUGGGCAGGUUGAAGGUUGGGUAACACUAACUGGAGGACCGAACCGACUAAUGUUGAAAAAUUAGCGGAUGACCUGUGGCUGGGGGUGAAAGGCCAAUCAAACCGGGAGAUAGCUGGUUCUCCCCGAAAGCUAUUUAGGUAGCGCCUCGUGAAUUCAUCUCCGGGGGUAGAGCACUGUUUCGGCUAGGGGGCCAUCCCGGCUUACCAACCCGAUGCAAACUGCGAAUACCGGAGAAUGUUAUCACGGGAGACACACGGCGGGUGCUAACGUCCGUCGUGAAGAGGGAAACAACCCAGACCGCCAGCUAAGGUCCCAAAGUCAUGGUUAAGUGGGAAACGAUGUGGGAAGGCCCAGACAGCCAGGAUGUUGGCUUAGAAGCAGCCAUCAUUUAAAGAAAGCGUAAUAGCUCACUGGUCGAGUCGGCCUGCGCGGAAGAUGUAACGGGGCUAAACCAUGCACCGAAGCUGCGGCAGCGAACGUAUCACCCAAGACAACUUUACGGAGUUGACGAUUGACGGAGCGAAGCGACGUCAAAGCGUUCAUUAAAGUCGAGUUGGCUUAGGGAUACGUUCGUUGGGUAGGGGAGCGUUCUGUAAGCCUGUGAAGGUGUGUCGUGAGGCAUGCUGGAGGUAUCAGAAGUGCGAAUGCUGACAUAAGUAACGAUAAAGCGGGUGAAAAGCCCGCUCGCCGGAAGACCAAGGGUUCCUGUCCAACGUUAAUCGGGGCAGGGUGAGUCGACCCCUAAGGCGAGGCCGAAAGGCGUAGUCGAUGGGAAACGGGUUAAUAUUCCCGUACUUGGUGUUACUGCGAAGGGGGGACGGAGAAGGCUAUGUUGGCCGGGCGACGGUUGUCCCGGUUUAAGCGUGUAGGUGUGUGUUCCAGGUAAAUCCGGUUCACUUUAACACUGAGGCGUGACGACGAGGCACUACGGUGCUGAAGCAACAAAUGCCCUGCUUCCAGGAAAAGCCUCUAAGCAUCAGGUAACAUCAAAUCGUACCCCAAACCGACACAGGUGGUCAGGUAGAGAAUACCAAGGCGCUUGAGAGAACUCGGGUGAAGGAACUAGGCAAAAUGGUGCCGUAACUUCGGGAGAAGGCACGCUGACACGUAGGUGAAGUGAUUUACUCAUGGAGCUGAAGUCAGUCGAAGAUACCAGCUGGCUGCAACUGUUUAUUAAAAACACAGCACUGUGCAAACACGAAAGUGGACGUAUACGGUGUGACGCCUGCCCGGUGCCGGAAGGUUAAUUGAUGGGGUCAGCGCAAGCGAAGCUCCUGAUCGAAGCCCCGGUAAACGGCGGCCGUAACUAUAACGGUCCUAAGGUAGCGAAAUUCCUUGUCGGGUAAGUUCCGACCUGCACGAAUGGCGUAAUGAUGGCCAGGCUGUCUCCACCCGAGACUCAGUGAAAUUGAACUCGCUGUGAAGAUGCAGUGUACCCGCGGCAAGACGGAAAGACCCCGUGAACCUUUACUAUAGCUUGACACUGAACAUUGAGCCUUGAUGUGUAGGAUAGGUGGGAGGCUUUGAAGUGUGGACGCCAGUCUGCAUGGAGCCGACCUUGAAAUACCACCCUUUAAUGUUUGAUGUUCUAACGUGGACCCGUAAUCCGGGUUGCGGACAGUGUCUGGUGGGUAGUUUGACUGGGGCGGUCUCCUCCUAAAGAGUAACGGAGGAGCACGAAGGUUGGCUAAUCCUGGUCGGACAUCAGGAGGUUAGUGCAAUGGCAUAAGCCAGCUUGACUGCGAGCGUGACGGCGCGAGCAGGUGCGAAAGCAGGUCAUAGUGAUCCGGUGGUUCUGAAUGGAAGGGCCAUCGCUCAACGGAUAAAAGGUACUCCGGGGAUAACAGGCUGAUACCGCCCAAGAGUUCAUAUCGACGGCGGUGUUUGGCACCUCGAUGUCGGCUCAUCACAUCCUGGGGCUGAAGUAGGUCCCAAGGGUAUGGCUGUUCGCCAUUUAAAGUGGUACGCGAGCUGGGUUUAGAACGUCGUGAGACAGUUCGGUCCCUAUCUGCCGUGGGCGCUGGAGAACUGAGGGGGGCUGCUCCUAGUACGAGAGGACCGGAGUGGACGCAUCACUGGUGUUCGGGUUGUCAUGCCAAUGGCACUGCCCGGUAGCUAAAUGCGGAAGAGAUAAGUGCUGAAAGCAUCUAAGCACGAAACUUGCCCCGAGAUGAGUUCUCCCUGAGACUUAGAGUCUCCUGAAGGAACGUUGAAGACGACGACGUUGAUAGGCCGGGUGUGUAAGCGCAGCGAUGCGUUGAGCUAACCGGUACUAAUGAACCGUGAGGCUUAACCUU